rnacentral:rRNA from 1 species
AGUAAAUAAUAAUUACGAAAGCAAAAAAUUAUGGCGGUAUCUUAAGCUUUUCAGAGGAAUUUGCUCUGUAAUGGAUAAAACACCUAAAUCUUACUUAAAUUAGUUAGAAUUCAGUUUGUAUACCACUAUUAAAAUAAUAAUUAACUAUUAUUAUUAAUAUUCUUUAUUAAGAAAAAAGUUAAGUCAAGGUGCAGCAAAAAUUUAAGAAUGAAGUGAAUUACAUUUCUUAAAAGAAAAAAAAUUGAAAUUAAAAUUUAGGAUUUGAUAGUAAAAUUAAAAUAAAAAGUUAAUUUGAACUAAGCUCUAAGAUAUGUACAUA